UUACCAGUUUGACAUAAAAGAGAUCCGCAAGGGACAGGUGGUGCAUGGCUGUCGUCAGCUCGUGUCGUGAGAUGUUGGGUUAAGUCCCGCAACGAGCGCAACCCUAUCAAUGUUGCCAGCAUAUGGGACUCAUUGAGACUGCCGGGGUUAAUCGGAGGAAGGUGGGGAUGACGUCAAGUCCUCAUGCCCCUUAUGCUGGGCUGCAAACACGCUACAAUGGGAUACAAGGGGCUUCGCGAGAUUAGCAAUCCCGAAAUCGUCUCAGUUCGAAUUGAAGUCUGCAACUCGACUUCAUGAAGCUGGAGUUGCUAGUAAUCCCGAUCAGCACGCGGGGUGAAUACGUUCCCGGGCCUUGUACACACCGCCCGUCACACCACGAAAGUCGGAAACCAAA
rnacentral:rRNA from 1 species